GUACAGGCGCAGCUUUGUCCACCCAGGACUCCUGCCACUGGGUCCCUGAAUGUUCCUCCCUGAGCGGGCAAUGAGAGAGUAAGCCCCCACUUUCCUCCUUCUUCCUGCUGCUUUUGCCACCGCCUCCCACUUCUUGAUAAGAAUCUGAGUGAAGCGCCUGCCAGGACACGGCUGGAUCUCUUAAAACACAAGGGGAAAUGUUUAUGUUUCCUCUCCACCCUGCCGGGUCACCUCCUCCAGGGUACUGCCAGCCAAGGGCACUGCCUGGUGAGACGAAUCAGAGUUUCAGCUCCGGGGAGUUUGUCUGACAUGCAGUCACACACGUGGACACACACAUAUAUCCUGGCACACGGAAUCACUUGAUGCUGAACGUCUUGUGAGAAGACAUGGUGAGGAGCAAAUGCAACCACACGUAGGAUGGCAAGGAAGAGAGGAGGAAGCAGGUAGGAGGACGUGUGUAGAACCUAUUCUUUUUCAGCGCUGAUUACACCUCUA
rnacentral:lncRNA from 1 species